CAGCCCAAAACGUUAACUGUUUACUCUUUUCUGUAGAUGCCACCUGGCCUGCUGAGUUCCUUCAGCAUUUUGUGUGUGGUGCUUGGAUUUCCAGAUUCAGCUGACGUACCAUGGAUUGUUUGUGCCUGUUGAAAUGGAGACAAGAAUAGAGGCUACACAACAGUAAACGCUUUGAAGGAAGAGCUUUAUGUGUCUAUAACCUACCAGACAUUCAAAAGCUACUGGGAGGCAGCAUUCAUCACUAAGGACCCCUACCGUCCAGCUCAUACUCUCUUCUCACUGCUGCACAGGAGCCUUAGAUCCCACACCACCAGGUUGAGAAGCAGUUCAUCCAUCAAGCUCCUGAAGCAGUGCUGAUAACUUCAUUCACUUCAACUCUGAGCUGAUUCCACAAUCUAUGGACUCACUUUCACG